UGUGGGAGCUGGCUUGCCAGCGAUAGCGGUGGUUCAGUCAAUUUAUAGUGACUGACAGGCCCUCAUCGCUGGCAAGCCAGCUCCCACA
rnacentral:antisense_RNA from 1 species